GAAAAGACCAUUACAAUUUCAUAGUCUCCUAGUUACAUAAUUUUUGCAGUCUCUAAAGUAUAAUAUCAACUGCUACCAAUGCAAUUUUUUUUUAGCAAGGGAAUUGCUGAGUGAAGACUCGAAAUUAGCUUUAUCAAAUGAGUAAUAUGCUUUCCGCUCCUAAAUAAAGCUACGUUUCUUUUACAAUUUCACAGUUUCCUGGUUAUCUAUUGAAUGUCUGCUAUGGUUUAAAAAAGAGCACCCUUUGGCCUUCUGCGUGUGUUCGCGUCUCCAUAUUCUUGAUGAACCAUAACAGUCGAUUACUUGAAUCCCACUGAAGUAAUUAAGCAAGUGAACAUGCACACCUUCCUUAUGAGGACUUUAAAUUCAUC
rnacentral:misc_RNA from 1 species